UACGUAGGUGGCAAGCGUUGUCCGGAAUUAUUGGGCGUAAAGAGCUCGUAGGCGGUUUGUCGCGUCUGCUGUGAAAUCCCGAGGCUCAACCUCGGGCCUGCAGUGGGUACGGGCAGACUGGAGUGCGGUAGGGGAGAAUGGAAUUCCUGGUGUAGCGGUGGAAUGCGCAGAUAUCAGGAGGAACACCGAUGGCGAAGGCAGUUCUCUGGGCCAUAACUGACGCUGAGGAGCGAAAGCGUGGGGAGCGAACAGG
rnacentral:rRNA from 1 species